rnacentral:tRNA from 1 species
GUUGGGGUAGCCAAGCUUGGUCUACGGCGCUGGUUUGCUAAACCAGUGUCCCUUCGGGACUCGUGGGUUCAAAUCCCACCCCCAGCG